ensembl:misc_RNA Y_RNA Y RNA
GGCUCUAAAGGAAAAAAGUGAACUACAUGCAAAAACAGUUAACCGGUUGAUCCCAACCAGUGACAGAUUUCUUUGUUCCUUCUCCACUACUAUUGCUUUAUUUAACCAGCCUUUA